ACUGUGGUGUGGACCUCAGUACCGCACGCACACGUCGCUAUCCGCUCUGGGGUGCUGGAACACGCGUUCCAGGCUACGUCCCCCGAAAAAGAAAAAAAUAACAACAAAAGGUCCACUAAAAUAGAACAUACUUCUACCACAACAAAAAUGGAAAAUAGUAUUAUAAGUUUAACUCAGAAAUCCCUUUGCCUAACAUGAAUGGGCUGAGAUGUAAAAUCAAAUAAACAAACAAUGCUGCCAGACAGUAUCACGUAAUUUAAACUCAAAUGACUAUUUGAAAAAAAAAACCGUCUAAAUAAUAACAGAUACAAUGUAGUGAAAACUGGACAUCGCAGAAAAAAAAAAAACAUUCAGACUAUAACUGAACUUGCAGUGAUAAAAGCAAUAAUAAUAAAAAAAAAAAAGUUUCAAAUCGAAUGAGACUGAAAGGUAUCCAUUAUAGAGUCCAAAAUGAUGCCUUGUACCGAAUGAGAUUAACAGCUGGUCCUCAAAUCAGCAGACAACAUGAGUUUCCGAAGCGUCAAAUCGGGCAUGGGGAGCACCGGGUCGUCCGGCAGGCGGAGGGCCGCCAGCAGCCUGCUGGAACAGCUGGAUCCGAUCUCACACCACCGGGCCAACUCUCGCCACAAUUCGGUGGGUCGUGCGUCCCAUAGCUUGCCAAGGAAUCUCCAGAGAAGAAGGUAAGUGCCCAGGCUAUAAUU